rnacentral:rRNA from 1 species
GAUGAACGCUGGCGGCGCGCCUAACACAUGCAAGUCGAACGGCUACAGCACCAGUUAGGGGUGUAAAAAGUGGCGAACGGCUGACUAACACGUAGGCAACCUGCCCUCCCCUUUUGGUUAGCCUCAGCGAACCGAGGCUAAUACUCGAAACUUAAACGACGCCCCAUUACGACAUUGAGAAAGCCUUUGCGGAGAAGGAUGAGUGCGCGGCCUGCUAGCUUGUUGGUGGGGUAGAGGCCUACCCAGGCAAUGAUGGGUAGCUGGGUUGAGUGACCGACCAGCCGGAUUGGGACUGAGACACGGCCCAGACUCCGACGGGAGGCAGCAGUGGGGAAUCUUGCACAAUGGGCGAAGGGCUGAUGCAGCGACGCCGCGUGCGGGACGAAGGCCUUCGUGUUGAAAAACGCUUUCAGCAGGGACGAGGCGAUAAGUGACGGUACCUGCAGAAGAAGCCCCGGCUAACUACGUG